GUACAGCUUCCUCAGGAAGGACAGGAUCAGAUGCAGUUAUUUAAUAGCAACGAAUAAAAGGGAAAACUGAAUUGGUCUGAGACAGAAAUGCCAGGAAGCAUGCAGAGAGAGGAGGUGGUAAUGAGAACAAGGCAUCGCUGCAUAUCAAUCAAAAAUGCUCAGCAAGGGAACCAAGAAUAAAACAUUCACUGAAAAAAGGGACUAUAGUCAGCAUAAAGAAAGACAAAGGAGUGAAGCCGGUGAGACAAAGCAUUUUAUUUCUUGCGUGAGUAAACAAGCAGAAAAAUAAGCUCCUCCACUAGACAGUGUAAAAGUAAACCCACAGGAAGGGCUUUCAAAGGAAAACAGGACUGGUAAUUUUAACACAAGCAAACAAUCAAAGGCAUCUCUGUUACAGUAUUAUGCUGGCAAGGAUAUUAGCAAAGAAACAUCUUUACACAAAACAAAAAACUUCUUUUCACAGUGAAAUGAUUAUAAGGAUUUCAGGGCAUGAUAAAAAUAG